GAUGAACGCUGGCGGCGUGCCUAAUACAUGCAAGUCGAGCGAACGGACGAGAAGCUUGCUUCUCUGAUGUUAGCGGCGGACGGGUGAGUAACACGUGGAUAACCUACCUAUAAGACUGGGAUAACUUCGGGAAACCGGAGCUAAUACCGGAUAAUAUUUUGAACCGCAUGGUUCAAAAGUGAAAGACGGUCUUGCUGUCACUUAUAGAUGGAUCCGCGCUGCAUUAGCUAGUUGGUAAGGUAACGGCUUACCAAGGCAACGAUGCAUAGCCGACCUGAGAGGGUGAUCGGCCACACUGGAACUGAGACACGGUCCAGACUCCUACGGGAGGCAGCAGUAGGGAAUCUUGCGCAAUGGGCGAAAGCCUGACGGAGCAACGCCGCGUGUGUGAUGAAGGUCUUCGGAUCGUAAAACUCUGUUAUUAGGGAAGAACAUAUGUGUAAGUAACUGUGCACAUCUUGACGUUACCUAAUCAGAAAGCCACGGCUAACUACGUG
rnacentral:rRNA from 1 species